AACGAACGCUGGCGGCAGGCUUAACACAUGCAAGUCGAACGCCCCGCAAGGGGAGUGGCAGACGGGUGAGUAACGCGUGGGAAUCUACCCAGUUCUACGGAACAACUGAGGGAAACUUCAGCUAAUACCGUAUACGCCCCAAGGGGGAAAGAUUUAUCGGAAUUGGAUGAGCCCGCGUUAGAUUAGCUAGUUGGUGGGGUAAUGGCCUACCAAGGCGACGAUCUAUAGCUGGUCUGAGAGGAUGAUCAGCCACACUGGGACUGAGACACGGCCCAGACUCCUACGGGAGGCAGCAGUGGGGAAUAUUGGACAAUGGGCGAAAGCCUGAUCCAGCCAUGCCGCGUGAGUGAUGAAGGCCUUAGGGUUGUAAAGCUCUUUCAGUAGGGACGAUAAUGACGGUACCUAAAGAAGAAGCCCCGGCUAACUUCGUGCCAGCAGCCGCCGUAAUAC
rnacentral:rRNA from 1 species